rnacentral:ncRNA from 1 species
UGCCUUGUGCCGGGCGUAAUAAAGGCACACCGCUGGGAAGCAACCCCGUAAAAAGCGUA